GACAGAGGGUGCAAACGUUGUUCGGAAUUACUGGGCGUAAAGCGCGUGUAGGCUGUUCGGCAAGUCGGAUGUGAAAGCCCUGGGCUCAACUGCAGGCUUGCAUUCGAUACGGGCAGGCUGGAGUUCGGUAGGGGAGAUCGGAAUUCCUGGUGUAGCGGUGAAAUGCGCAGAUAUCAGGAGGAACACCGGUGGCGAAGGCGGAUCUCUGGGCCUUACCUGACGCUCAGGUGCGAAAGCUAGGGGAGCGAACAGG
rnacentral:rRNA from 1 species